rnacentral:tRNA from 2 species
GGGCCCGUAGCUCAGUUGGUUAGAGCAAACCGCUCAUAACGGUUGGGUCGUAGGUUCGAAUCCUACCGGGCCCACCA